UCAGGACGAACGCUGGCGGCGUGCUUAACACAUGCAAGUCGAGCGGAAAGGCCCUUCGGGGUACUCGAGCGGCGAACGGGUGAGUAACACGUGAGUAACCUGCCCUAGGCUUUGGGAUAACCCUCGGAAACGGGGGCUAAUACCGGAUAUUCAUGUCGUGUGGCAUCACAUGGUGUGGAAAGUUUUUUCGGCUUGGGAUGGGCUCGCGGCCUAUCAGCUUGUUGGUGGGGUGAUGGCCUACCAAGGCGACGACGGGUAGCCGGCCUGAGAGGGCGACCGGCCACACUGGGACUGAGACACGGCCCAGACUCCUACGGGAGGCAGCAGUGGGGAAUAUUGCACAAUGGGCGGAAGCCUGAUGCAGCGACGCCGCGUGAGGGAUGAAGGCCUUCGGGUUGUAAACCUCUUUCGACAGGGACGAAGCGUGAGUGACGGUACCUGGAGAAGAAGCGCCGGCCAACUACGUGCCAGCAGCCGCGGUAAGACGUAGGGCGCGAGCGUUGUCCGGAUUUAUUGGGCGUAAAGAGCUCGUAGGCGGCUUGUUGCGUCAGCUGUGAAAACCCGCAGCUCAACUGUGGGCUUGCAGCUGAUACGGGCAGGCUUGAGUUCGGUAGGGGAGACUGGAAUUCCUGGUGUAGCGGUGAAAUGCGCAGAUAUCAGGAGGAACACCGGUGGCGAAGGCGGGUCUCUGGGCCGAUACUGAC
rnacentral:rRNA from 1 species